UAGCAGCGGGAACAGUACUGCAGUGGGCAAUCGGUGUUCUGGAGUAUUGUUUCUGCUGCCCGG
rnacentral:pre_miRNA from 3 species